AUCUUUUUAGUAUAAAUUAAUAUAUUUGACUUCCAAUCAAAAGAUCUUAAGUUAAGAAAAGAUA
rnacentral:tRNA from 1 species